rnacentral:tRNA from 1 species
GGGCUAUUAGCUCAGCUGGUAGAGCACAUGACUCUUAAUCAUGGUGUCACUGGUUCGACCCCAGUAUAGCCCA